CCUACGGGAGGCAGCAGUGGGGGAUAUUGCACAAUGGGGGGAACCCUGAUGCAGCGACGCCGCGUGGGUGAAGGAGCGUUUCGGCGCGUAAAGCCCUAUCGGCAGGGAAGAAGAUGACGGUACCUGACCCAGAAGCCCCGGCCAACUACGUGCCAGCAGCCGCGGUAAUACGGCGGGGGCAAGCGUGAUCCGGAUUUACGGGGUGUAAGGGGGGCGCAGACGGCAAGGCAAGCCAGAGGUGAAAGUCCGGGGCGCAACCGCGGGACUGCACUUGAAACUGCAUGGCUGGAGUACAGGAGAGGCAGGCGGAAUUCGUAGUGUAGCGGUGAAAUGCGUAGAUAUUAGGAGGAACACCGGUGGCGAAGGCGGCUUGCUGGACUGUGACUGACGCUGAGGCACGAAGGCGAGGGUAGCGAAAGGGAUUAGAUACCCCAGUAGUC
rnacentral:rRNA from 1 species